rnacentral:lncRNA from 1 species
UUAUUAUUUCAGUUGUUAUAGCUUAGAUAGUUAUAUGGUUCAGUAUUUUUAUUACAUUUGAAAAUAUGGAUUUUCGUGAAUGUAAUAAACGGAUUUCUGGAUUUUGUAAAAUAAAAGGUUUUCUACCCCUCGUGGUAGCAUUUUUUAAAGAAUAAAGGUUUCCGUGCAGGAAAUAGUUUUCAAAAGGUUUCUGUGGAUUUUGCAUCUUAGUAUUUCAAAAUCUGUUUCUGUGGUUGGAAACAUUUUAACUGAGAGGUGUGGAUUUAUGCAUAAAUGUGAAUCUGUAGUGAAUGGUGUAUGAAUAUAUAUAACGGUUGGUUAUUUGUAUGUUCAUUUGUUGUGGUUGUGCCUGGAUGACUUCUUGUACUUGUGCGACGCCGUGCAAAUACAGGGGAGACUCUGUCCGUGUGAAUAGUGGAUUUCCUAUAUUUGUGGCGGAUCUGGCAUACUCUGGGGUCAGGUUUUCAAAAAAAAAAAAUU